GAGUUUGAUCAUGGCUCAGAUUGAACGCUGGCGGCAUGCCUUACACAUGCAAGUCGAACGGCAGCACGGGAGCUUGCUCCUGGUGGCGAGUGGCGAACGGGUGAGUAAUGCAUCGGAACGUAUCCUGGAGUGGGGGAUAACGUAGCGAAAGUUACGCUAAUACCGCAUAUUCUGUGAGCAGGAAAGCGGGGGACCUUCGGGCCUCGCGCUCUUGGAGCGGCCGAUGUCGGAUUAGCUAGUUGGUGAGGUAAAGGCUCACCAAGGCGACGAUCCGUAGCAGGUCUGAGAGGAUGAUCUGCCACACUGGAACUGAGACACGGUCCAGACUCCUACGGGAGGCAGCAGUGGGGAAUUUUGGACAAUGGGGGCAACCCUGAUCCAGCUAUGCCGCGUGAGUGAAGAAGGCCUGG
rnacentral:rRNA from 1 species